CCUACGGGAGGCAGCAGUGGGGAAUAUUUGGCAAUGGGCGCAAGCCUGACCCAGCAACGCCGCGUGAAGGAAGAAGGCUUUCGGGUUGUAAACUUCUUUUAUCAGGGACGAAGCAAGUGACGGUACCUGAAGAAUAAGCCACGGCUAACUACGUGCCAGCAGCCGCGGUAAUACGUAGGUGGCAAGCGUUAUCCGGAUUUACGUGGUGUAAAGGGCGUGGAGGCGGGAGUGCAAGUCAGAUGUGAAAACUAUGGGCUCACCCCAUAGCCUGCAUUUGAAACUGUCAUUCUUGAGUGCUGGAGAGGCAAGCGGAAUUCCGGGUGUAGCGGUGAAAUGCGUGGAUAUACGGAGGAACACCAGUGGCGAAGGCGGAUUGCUGGACAGUAACUGACGCUGAGGCGCGAAAGCGUGGGGAGCAAACAGGAUUAGAUACCCCAGUAGUC
rnacentral:rRNA from 1 species